rnacentral:rRNA from 1 species
AGAGUUUGAUCCUGGCUCAGGAUGAACGCUAGCGACAGGCUUAACACAUGCAAGUCGAGGGGCAGCGGGAGGAAAGCUUGCUUUUCUUGCCGGCGACCGGCGCACGGGUGAGUAACACGUAUGCAACCUGCCCAUGACAGGGGGAUAAGCGGGAGAAAUUCCGUCUAAUACCGCAUAACACCCCCGGGAGACAUCUCUCGGGAGUCAAAGGAGCGAUCCGGUCAUGGAUGGGCAUGCGGCGCAUUAGUUAGUUGGCGGGGUAACGGCCCACCAAGGCGACGAUGCGUAGGGGUUCUGAGAGGAAGGUCCCCCACACUGGUACUGAGACACGGACCAGACUCCUACGGGAGGCAGCAGUGAGGAAUAUUGGUCAAUGGGCGAGAGCCUGAACCAGCCAAGUCGCGUGAGGGAAGACGGUCCUACGGAUUGUAAACCUCUUUUGUCGGGGAGCAAUAAGGCGUACGUGUACGCAGAUGCGAGUACCCGAAGAAAAAGCAUCGGCUAACUCCGUGCCAGCAGCCGCGGUAAUACGGAGGAUGCGAGCGUUAUCCGGAUUUAUUGGGUUUAAAGGGUGCGCAGGCGGAAAGUGCAAGUCAGCGGUCAAACGACGGGGCUCAACCCCGUCUCGCCGUUGAAACUGUCUUUCUAGAGUGAGCGAGAAGUAUGCGGAAUGCGUGGUGUAGCGGUGAAAUGCAUAGAUAUCACGCAGAACUCCGAUUGCGAAGGCAGCAUACCGGCGCUCAACUGACGCUCAUGCACGAAAGCGUGGGUAUCGAACAGGAUUAGAUACCCUGGUAGUCCACGCAGUAAACGAUGAAUACUAAUUGUCCGGGCAGAAUGAUGCCUGGGUGAUACAGCGAAAGCGUUAAGUAUUCCACCUGGGGAGUACGCCGGCAACGGUGAAAC